rnacentral:rRNA from 1 species
UCGAGGAUCUUCCGCAAUGGGCGCAAGCCUGACGGAGCGACGCCGCGUGUGGGAUGAAGGCCUUCGGGUUGUAAACCACUGUCACUCGUUAAGAAAGGAACUGGUGUUAACAGCGCCAGAAACUGACAAAGGCGAGAGAGGAAGCCACGGCUAACUUCGUGCCAGCAGCCGCGGUAAGACGAAGGUGGCGAGCGUUGUUCGGAAUCACUGGGCAUAAAGCGCACGUAGGCGGCGACGUAAGUUGGGUGUGAAAUCCCUGGGCCCAACCCAGGAACUGCGCCCAGUACUGCGUUGCUUGAGGAUCAAAGGGGUGCAUGGAAUUCCCGGUGGAGCGGUGAAAUGCGUUGAUAUCGGGAGGAACUCCGGCGGCGAAAGCGGUGCACUGGUUGAUUUCUGACGCUGAGGUGCGAAAGCCAGGGGAGCAAACGGGAUUAGAUACCCCCGUAGUCC